UUGCGUAAGGGAUUGCAGUGUAAAUCCUUUUCCUUUUUUUUUUAAAAGGAAAAGAUUGCAACGGAAAGCCCGCCCGCCG
rnacentral:sRNA from 1 species